rnacentral:lncRNA from 1 species
AUGCCCUCUAUUUACAUAAGUAUCAUAUUAGCAUUUAUCAUAUCACUUCUGGGGGUAUUAGUCUAUCAGUCCCACCUAAUAUCAUCCCUCCUAUGCCUAGAAGGAAUAAUAUUAUCAUUAUUCAUAGUAAAUACCCUUAUAGCUUUAAAUAUACACUUCACCCUAGCAAAUGUAAUACCCAUUACUCUACCAGUAUUUGCUGCCUGCAAAGCCAGGGUAGGCCUUGCUUUGCUACUUUCAAUUUCCAACAUAUAUGGCUUAGACUACAUACAUAACCUAAAUUUACUUCAAUGCUAAA